rnacentral:rRNA from 1 species
ACUCAAAUGAAUUGACGGGGGCCCGCACAAGCGGUGGAGCAUGUGGUUUAAUUCGACGCAACGCGAAGAACCUUACCUAGGUUAAAUCCGCCCGAACCUUACAGAGAUGUAGGGGUGCUCUUCGGAGAAUGGGCGAGAAGGUGCUGCAUGGCUGUCGUCAGCUCGUGUCGUGAGAUGUUGGGUUAAGUCCCGCAACGAGCGCAACCCUUGUCUUUAGUUGCGACACUUUCGGGUGAGCACUCUAGAGAGACCGCCGGCGUUAAGCCGGAGGAAGGUGGGGAUGACGUCAAGUCCUCAUGGCCCUUAUGCCUAGGGCUACACACGUGCUACAAUGGCCGGUACAAAGGGUUGCGAAGCCGCGAGGUGAAGCUAAUCCCAAAAAACCGGUCUCAGUUCAGAUAGAAGUCUGCAACCCGACUUCUUGAAGUUGGAAUCGCUAGUAAUCCCGGAUCAGCAUGCCGGGGUGAAUACGUUCCCGGGCCUUGCACACACCGCCCGU